CAAGGUAAAAACUAGACGGAGCCGGGAGAGAGAGAGCAAGGUAAAAACUAGUCAGAGACGGGAGAGAGAGCAAGGUAAAAACUAGACAGAGACGGGAGAGAGAGAGCAAGGUAAUAACUAGACAGAGAGCAAGGUAAAAACUAGACAGAGAGCAAGGUAAAAACUAGACGGAGACGGGAGAGAGAGAGCAAGGUAAUAACUAGUCAGAGACAGGAGAGAGAGAGCAAGGUAAAAACUAGUCAGAGACGGGAGAGAGAGCAAGGUAAAAACUAGACAGAGACGGGAGAGAGAGAGCAAGGUAAUAACUAGACAGAGAGCAAGGUAAAAACUAGACAGAGAGCAAGGUAAAAACUAGACGGAGACGGGAGAGAGAGAGCAAGGUAAUAACUAGUCAGAGACAGGAGAGAGAGAGCAAGGUAAUAACUAGUCAGAGAGCAAGGUAAAAACUAGACAGAGACGGGAGAGAGAGAGCAAGGUAAUAACUAGACAGAGAGCAAGGUAAAAACUAGACAGAGAGCAAGGUAAAAACUAGACAGAGACGGGAGAGAGAGAGAGCAAGGUAAUAACUAGUCAGAGACAGGAGAGAGAGAGCAAGGUAAUAACUAGUCAGAGAGCGAGGUAAAAACUAGACAGAGACGGGAGAGAGAGAGCAAGGUAAUAACUAGACAGAAAGCAAGGUAAAAACUAGACAGAGAGCAAGGUAAAAACUAGACAGAGACGGGAGAGAGAGAGCAAGGUAAAAACUAGACAGAGACGGGAGAGAGAGAGCAAGGUAAUAACUAGACAGAGAGCAAGGUAAAAACUAGACAGAGAGCAAGGUAAAAACUAGACAGAGACGGGAGAGAGAGAGCAAGGUAAUAACUAGUCAGAGACAGGAGAGAGAGAGCAAGGUAAUAACUAGUCAGAGAGCAAGGUAAAAACUAGACAGAGACGGGAGAGAGAGAGCAAGGUAAUAACUAGACAGAAAGCAAGGUAAAAACUAGACAGAGAGCAAAGUAAAAACUAGACAGAGACGGGAGAGAGAGAGCAAGGU